rnacentral:rRNA from 1 species
AUUGAACGCUGGCGGCAGGCCUAACACAUGCAAGUCGAGCGGAUGAAGGGAGCUUGCUCCUGGAUUCAGCGGCGGACGGGUGAGUAAUGCCUAGGAAUCUGCCUGGUAGUGGGGGAUAACGUCCGGAAACGGGCGCUAAUACCGCAUACGUCCUGAGGGAGAAAGUGGGGGAUCUUCGGACCUCACGCUAUCAGAUGAGCCUAGGUCGGAUUAGCUAGUUGGUGGGGUAAAGGCCUACCAAGGCGACGAUCCGUAACUGGUCUGAGAGGAUGAUCAGUCACACUGGAACUGAGACACGGUCCAGACUCCUACGGGAGGCAGCAGUGGGGAAUAUGGACAAUGGGCGAAAGCCUGAUCCAGCCAUGCCGCGUGUGUGAAGAAGGUCUUCGGAUUGUAAAGCACUUUAAGUUGGGAGGAAGGGCAGUAAGUUAAUACCUUGCUGUUUUGACGUUACCAACAGAAUAAGCACCGGCUAACUUCGUG